ACGAGUCAAAAAAAAAAAAAAAUGUUUUUUUGGCCUCCCAACCUCAACAGUAACUGAGCUUAUAUUUAUCUUGUGCCUUUGCAACACCCUUUUUCCCUUUUAUUGAGCUCCUUCCUCACUCCUAACCAUAUGACCAUGAUCUUUUGCUAAGUAGAAACUAUUUCUUUCCUUGAGAGAUGCAAACUUAUUGAAUGCAUAAUUGCCUACAUGUAUGUAUGAAAUACACAGAAAAACAUUCAUAUGCAUAUAUAUGCCCACUUUGUAAUUGCAUAAAGAGGACAUGUCUCACUAAUUGACCGUGUGAACUUUUUACUUAUAUUUCUCUAAGCUAGAAAUCUUAUUUCUAAAUUGAUAAGAUUUGUGGUGUUCUUGAUUAAUAAACUUAUAUUCCUUACCAGGAGUGAAUGCUGAUGAUGUUCGA
rnacentral:misc_RNA from 1 species